GAAACGCGAACCAAGCGGCGGCGGGAACCGCGUGAGGCUUGGAGCUGGCCUUGGCAACGAGGCCAUGCA
rnacentral:sRNA from 26 species